UACCGCCUGCGCUUCGUGCUUAGCAAC
rnacentral:piRNA from 1 species